rnacentral:rRNA from 1 species
UACGUAGGGGGCGAGCGUUGUCCGGAGUUACUGGGCGUAAAGGGCACGCAGGCGGUGCGGCGCGUUUCGCGUGACAGCGGAGGGCUUAACUCUCCGAGGAUGCGAAAGACGGCGGCACUUGAGGGCCAGAGAGGGACACGGAAUUCCGGGUGGAGUGGUGAAAUGCGCAGAUAUCGGGAGGAACACCAGUAGCGAAGGCGGCUCGCUGGGACGUUACUGACGCUGAGACGCGAAAGCGUGGGGAGCAAACAGGG